rnacentral:lncRNA from 1 species
GGCUUUGAGCAUUUGGGUUAAAGCUCCCAAAUAAGAAUACCACUACCACCGCCGCCCCCCCUCCUCCCAAGGUUGGAAAAGUCUGAUUCUGAUUCACUUCCUUUUUGUGUUCUGCUUUCCUGUCAUGUCUACUUUCCCUAGGAUCUCAUCCUUCCAGACUGUGGGCUUCACGUUGCUGUGAGGAAGGAGUGUGGCACAGGCAGACCUCCAGUGCUCUGAGUGGAAUACCAAUGGAGUUUUCAUUUUGGGAGCUUGGAUCACUUACACGUCACAUGCAAAGUCUGAGUCAUAGCUGGUCCAUGGACUCUACUAUCGGCCUUGUGCUGUAUUGUACCCUGGCUUUCUUAGAGGACUACUGGAUUAGAUGGAGAGAAUGCCCAGGCAUCUCCAUGGCCCCAUUCAGGUUCCAGAGCUUCAUCAAGUCAGUGAGGAGCUACAUGUACCACGGGAGGAGGUACUACAGGAUAUCCUUGUUGUGCACCAGGCAGUACAGAGGGGUAAGAUAUUGCUCCUUACGGCCCCAGCUCUUGACCAAAGCUCUUCUAAAAGAGUGA